GACGAACGCUGGCGGCGUGCCUAAUACAUGCAAGUCGAACGCUGAAGGAGGAGCUUGCUUCUCUGGAUGAGUUGCGAACGGGUGAGUAACGCGUAGGUAACCUGCCUGGUAGCGGGGGAUAACUAUUGGAAACGAUAGCUAAUACCGCAUAAGAGUAGAUGUUGCAUGACAUUUGCUGAAAAGUUGCAAUUGCAUCACUACCAGAUGGACCUUCGUUGUAUUAGCUAGUUGGUGGGGUAACGGCUCACCAAGGCGACGAUACAUAGCCGACCUGUGAGGGUGGUCGGCCAGCCUGGGAGUGAGACGCGGCCCAGACUGCCACGGGAGGCAGCAGUAGGGAAUCUUGGGCAAGGGACGGAAGUCUGACCGAGCAACGCCGCGUGAGGGAAGAAGGUUUUCGGAUCGUAAAGGUCUGUUGUAAGAGAAGAACGAGUGUGAGAGUGGAAAGUUCACACUGUGACGGUAUCUUACAAGAAAGCGACGGCUAACUACGUG
rnacentral:rRNA from 1 species